UGUUCGAAAAUUCCUCACCUAUACCAUCAAAAGUCUUUCAAGAAAUUCGAUUGCAAUUUCUUUUACGAAAAGUUUUUUGACCGACCUAAAAUCGAACCCAAAUCUGUGACUAUAUGGGUGCCUUCACUGUUCACCUCAGACUAUUCAUUGCAUGCUGCUCUCUGCGAACUUCUCAAUUUUCACUGCUCAUUCCUCACUACUCACUUCUCACUCUUCACUGUAUACUUUUUACUUCACACUACUGACUUCUCUCUCCUUUCUCUUCACUGAUUACCACUAAAUGGGGUAAUUCCUCACUAUUCACUCCUCUCUGCAUGUCAAUCUUCGUUCUUGCUUUGUUUUUUUUUUCAAUAUUCCUUAUUCCUUACAGCACUUCUCACUCCUCACUGCCCCACAUUCUUUACUUUUUACUGGUUAUUUCUCACAGCUUUUUCCUACUUCUCAUUCCAAAUUCUAUACUGUUCAGUCCUUAGUCCUCACUCUUCACUGCUCACUCUUUAACAGCUUCUAAGGUAUGCUAGAUCGCCAGUUUUUCCACUCAUAUAUGAAAAAUAGUUAUGGAAUCACAUUUGAGCUCUGUGCAAAACUUUUUGCCACUACUGAUGCAAAGGAGAAUCUAUCAUACCUAAGAGAACUGUCAUCUAUACUUGAAGUUGCUUCUUUCCCACUCUUCAGUCCUCAUCGUUUGUGGAUAAGCUUUUGAAGAAAAAGAACAAAAUGGCUUGAUGUUGCUUUCAUACAGCUUUUGAACAAGGGAAACUAGCCAAGAGCGCGUGGUUCCUACGUAAAAAUAUACCAACUAGCGAUAAGAAGUUGAAUCGCCAAAAAGUAACAUGGAACAACUAUGCUGCUUAUGACUGAACAGGACGCAAACAGGAUCAUAUCACAAACAUGCGCAGCCCAUUUUCGAUUCAUUUGGCAAACCACCGCCAUCAGUCAAUUACAAAUUGUAAGUUGUUCGAACCUCCUGGAACAGAUAAUUGAAUUUGCUUUGGCAACACCUUUUAAGCACAGUCAAAAAUCCAUUAAUCCAGUCCGAAAGUGACAGACAGACAGACGUUUCGCGCCGACCCGACAUCAACCAGCCGAUGACAAUCAAUCGAUGACGACGCCCGUCGCCAUGAUCCGGGAUAUCCAAGGACUCCCGCAGCGGCGUUUGAUCACCUCGUCACGCCACACGGACAGCUAAUUCUUAUCCUCCAAGUGUCAAAUUAGCACCAGAUUAGCUUCGGCGCCUGGUUUCCCAAAAGCAGAUCAUAUCUUAUGGGUUCUCCGCACUUGCGCGCUCACGGUGCGGUGCUAUGUCAGAGAGGCAGGUACGACUCGUACGAGAGAUCUUGUCUUAAUUGAUACUUCAGCAGCGCACACCGACGACGACGACGGUGUGAAGACUCUUCAACGCGAAUCGAUCCGUGUAUAGUAGUACUCAAGUAGUUUCGCGAAGUCAGUCAUCGAGUGGAUGGUGGUGAGUGUGCUUCGGCAGUUUUUCAAGAAACCUGUUUGUGAGGUGUUCUGCUUUGUAAUUCGCCGAUUCUGCUGCGCUGGUAUCCUGAGCUACGUUGAAUGCGGUGUUUUAAUUAAAUCAUCAGAAGGACAGUUCGAGAUAGAACGUAAUAAGCUCAAAAAGCAACAUCAUAUGCGAUGACAAUUGUCCCUCCCUACUACUUAUGCGAUAGUAACAUAAAAUAGUACUUAAUACGAUGUACUGCAUGUAUCCUUAUACGACUUCUGGUUGUCUGGGCCACAGUCACGAACACGCUGGCUCCACGCUGUUGAAUGAGACCCGGGAAUCUUAAACAUUCGGAGAAACUGGAGAUGGAUCGCCCAAGACCGACAAAGACCGUGGUGUACUAUCAGGACUGGAUAAGAGUCACAAGCUACAAGGCUAGUUCAUCUCGGGACCCACGCUUUACUUCCCUUCCGAAGGCAGAACUCACAUUUUGUGAGUUUGUCGGGAGUGGGAUUCGAUCCCAGUUCCUCGGCGUGAUAGUCACGUGCUUUAACCAUAACACCAGGUUCGCUCCGACUAAGUUACUUAGUUUUAUAAUUGAGGAGUCGAAAUACUCAACUAACUAUUUUGGAUAAUGCCUGUAAUUGAAAUGCUUCAAUCAACGUUAGUAUCCAUUUUAAAGUGUUCUGUUUUUUUUACUUUUGUUUUUGUUUUCAUUUGUUUUGAGAAAUGGCAACUUUUUAAUAAAAGUAAAAUUAUACAGCACUGUU